CAAUAUUUUAAAUCACCUACUAGGGUUUUGGGACUAUCCUCUAUAAAUACUAAAACUUUCGCUUUUCUUGCAAAACAUACAAUUAGGGUUCCUCACACAUUCGAUAGGCUUCUCUUUUGCGCUGAAAGAUGGGGCACUCUAACAUCUGGAACUCUCACCCCAAGACCUAUGGGCCUGGUUCCCGCACCUGGUAAUCGCGUCACUAAGUUUUCAUUUUUUUUAUUUUUUAAGAGAAUGUUUUUGGUGUAAUUCAACGUAUUAAUAUAAUAUGCAACGAUUUUGAGGGAGUUAUGAUGUGUUGUUUUACUUUGAUCCGUGGAUUUUUUGAGACUGAUUUGAUAUUUGUGUAUAUAUAUCUCUAUUGAUGAUGUUGGUCAGCGUUUAAUGUUAAUUGGUCCGUAGUUUCGUGUUUUUUUUGAUGAAUUGUUGUAGUUAUAAUCUACAGGAGGACAGUAAUAUAAGGGCUAUCAAUUAUAAAUGGGAAUUUGGCGUGCUGACUUAAAAAGUAUUAUGUGUCUUAGAUGUAUCAGUUGAAUGGCCGUCGAGUUCCUGGGUAAUUCUAAUAAUCUUUCUCAUAUGAUCUGUUUUUAGUACAUGUCAUGCUGAGUUGAAGACUUGAUUAAAAAGCUACCUUUUUGAAAAAUUUAGUAGAUACCAUGGGAGUAUGCUUAGUACUUGUAAGUAGGGAUAGUUUGACUAAGGGCUCGUAUGCAUGGUUUUUUGCUGCUUCUUUUUAUAUACAAGCUUUUUGAGAAAGCUAACUUAAUUAAUGUUUAGCUCUAUUGCACGAACACUUCAAUUAGGGUAACGUGUCCAUGUUCGACAUUGCUCGGACAUUCCAUCUUAAUGAUUUUUAUUUUUUUUGUAUUAGAAAUCUUAUAUAUUUUUAGCUAAAAUUAUUAAUAAAUAACAAAUAUAUACUUGUUGAAAAGAUUUCAAUAAAAAAAUAAGGAUAAAACUAAAAUUAUACUAUAUAAAUGAUUAAAUGAAUAAUUUAGUCAAUGUGUCGUGUCAGUACUUUUUUCAAAAAUUGUGUGUCGACUACGGCACUUGCCGUGUCAGACACAAGUGUCCAUGUCGAUGCAUCAUAGGUGUUUAGAAACUAAUUUGUAAAUAAGUUUUUUCUUUCAAUAGAGCUUUCUAACUAGAAGAGGCAUUUUUAUAAAAUUAAUCAUUUGCAAAUGCAGCUUUUGGUUUUCGAAAAUUCCUUUUGACUCUCAUAAGUCAUUUCAAACGGGCCUUAUUAUCAGUUCUUAUGUUGUGUGGAUUAGUUUCAUGAAAAACUUCUGCCAAAAUUUCCUCCAUCUACAACAAGUAAUAGCUUGAUGUUAGAAUACAAUGUUGUAACACUUGUUACAAGUGUUGUUGAACCUACUUCGGUAUGUAAUUUGGACUUGAUGCCUGUGUUUAUAUGUUCAGCUUAAUAUUGACAUGAUGUGUAUGAUGCUAUGAUAGUCGUGUAUGCGGGAACCCCCAUGGAAUUAUUAGGAAGUAUGGGCUCAUGUGCUGCAGACAGUGCUUCCGUAGCAAUGCCAAGGAAAUUGGCUUUAUCAAGGUAAAUAGUUGAGGUUUUUUUAACCAUAAUAUGAACUAUUUAUAUAUACAUUUUAUAUUCUGAGCUAUAUUUUCAGGGAGACCAAUCAUGUGUUUCUGAAUUUUCUUGUUUAAAUUGAAUGUUUCCUUAGCAAUUAUUUGUUCUUAGUCGGAUUUAUAACAUUCUUCACUAUAGUGACAAUUUCCUGUGCAUUUAUGUUUUUGCAGUAUCGUUGAGCUGUGAAUAUCUGAAUUUCUGCCCGUGAAGGACGGCUUUUCUAAGUGGGUUGCAUUUCGAUCUCUACGGGCAUCCUUUUUAUAAUUUAUCUUUGCCUUUUUUUUUUAAGAAGGGUGUGGUAAGAGAGAUUAUUCUAGUUUUAGAUAGAACUCAAUUUGUUUCGGGAACUCUUUUCAUGGUACUCAUUUCUUUCAAUGAAUCAUGAAAUUGUUCAUUCUGCAGUUUUUUUUUCAUUGCACUGAUUGCUUUAAUGACACUUUACUUUGAGGUUCAAACACCCAUAUGCAGGGGCAAGUGCCACACAUACAAUAAAUUGCUUUGUUCAGUUAGGAGACGGUAUCUUCUAGUUUUUGAGUUCCACAUACAGUACAAUUUCAAAUCUCCAUCGAAAUCUAAGAACAGAGAAUUAUCAAUCACUCUUUACAGAGAACAUUAUGAGAGUUUUUAUUUAUCACAGCUUGGUAUGAUGAAACGAGACAAGAUGUUAUAUCGUACUGGUUCAACAUAUCAGGGCAGAAAAUUCACAUGUUCAGCCCAUUUCACAUGAACUCGAUUUUGAUCAGCUGUAACUCGGAAAAGGUGAAACUGUUUUUGCAAAAUGGAAGUCUGUGUGACAGGAUUCUUCUUAACCAACACCUCCAAG
rnacentral:lncRNA from 1 species